CCUGGUGGCUCAGAUGGUAAAGAAUCUGCCUGCAACGCAGGAGACCCGGGUUCAAUUCCUGGGUCAGGA
rnacentral:tRNA from 1 species